CGCCUGCAGCGCGCUGGCGGGGGCCGCCGGCCCGGCCGCAGGAGGACCGCUCACCACCGGGCCCUUCGACAUGCUCCUGCCUUCCGCUCCCUCCGCCGCCGCUACCACCGAGGAGACUUUAUUAUUCACUCUGCGCGGUCCGCACGGCGACCGCAAUGCGCAGGCGCCGCCGCCGCCAUUAUCGCCCCGGUGCGCAAAGCACGAUGGGACUUGUAGUCCGGGCGCUCGUGCAAACUCCACCAACCGGGGACAGCUUGGCAGGGCUUCCGGCCUGUAGAACUACAACUCCCACGGACACUAUGCAGCCAUUGCCCCGGAUUUUCUUCAGCGCGGGGCCUGAUGGAAAUUGCAGUUUAGCUGUUCUGGAAAGCCUAGUUCACUUCCCUGAGGAUAGAUAUACUGCUACAGUGCCUAGUGUGGACACAGUUAUGCUGAUGCAGUGUAAGGGCUCAUCCUAUAUUUACAGGAAUAAAAUGAAAUGUAGAUGAUAGCAUCUGUCAUGUGAUCUGAAAUGCAGCAUCGUGAACUACUGUUUCUGAGGACAUACAGAUGUGAUCAAGGAUCAAUAAUAAGCAGGUAGUUUUCAAUGUUCAGUUUAUGCCCUAUGUACAGUACAUUUGAAAACAUUGCCAUAGUUCGUGUGAAGCAUCUUGUUUGUCCUAUUUAAAUUGCCAUUGAAGUAAGGAUUGCAGAUUUAGUCUAUCAGUUGUUUAAAAUGCAAUGAAAUAGUUUCACUUAGUUACAUUUCUAAACAGAUACAAUCUUAUAUACUAACUAAACACAUAAAUUAAUUUCUGACUGUUGGUGACAUCACUGAAGAAUUUCUGUAGCCUGAAUGAUACUUUGUUAAUGUGAAGUAUUCAGCAGUGGACCUUCCAGCAAUCUACACACUAUCCAUCCAUCUUACUGGUUGUUCCUGCCUAUAAUGACUCUCCCCUAUCCUUUCCACAAUGAUUUGCAUGAAAAGUAUAGUGGUGGAACUAGCACCAUAAACUAAUUUCAGAAAAAGCUGAGGCACACUUGACCAAUUUCUAAAUAUCCAUCACAUCACUGAAAAAUGAAGAAAGUACAAUCACCCACUGACCAUAUGACUCAUUGACUAUCAAAUCUGAUAUGACAUUCUUUGUAGGAUACUAUCAAGCUUGCGGAGUCCAGACAAUCUGACUAAACUAAUUGCAAGUCUCUACCACCAUCAACAGACAGUAGUGUGAAAAGCCAGAAGUGGUUUUCCCCUGGGCAGGGUGAGAGAUGAGUGUAUUUUGUCCCCACGCCUCUUUAACAUAUAUGCAGAAUUUAUUAUGAGAUUUUUACAAAGUGGAAGAAAGAUCUGGGAUUUCCAUUGCUGGUCACCUUUUAACUAAACUCACAUAUGCUGAUGACAACUGUAUUUGCUACAACCACUGAUGCAAUGCAACAAAUGCUGGUCUGUAAAAACAGUUUUGUGAUGAAUAUAUACUAUACCUGAAUGCAACAAAUCAAAUUGCACUUAUGUAGAUACAACAGACCAAACAGGAUGCAAACAGAUAUCACAAUUAACAGACCAACUGUAGAAGCAGUAGAUUAAUUGAGUUAUCUGGAAUCAUAUAUAUUCAACCAAAGUGGCUGUUGCAAAGAAAUCUGAAAAAAAACUAAGGAUGGCUCACUCAGCUAGGGCUUUACUUAAGAAAGUGUGGAAAAAACAUGGCAUCUUGAAAUUUACAAAGGUGCAACUGGUAAAAAGCCUAACUUUCUCCAUAGAGAUAUAUGUAUGUUAAUGCUGUUAACAAGAAGAAAAUUGAAUUUUUUGAAAUGUGGCACUGGUGAAGAAUUACAUAUUACUGAUUGUUUUGUGAACUUCACAGAAUUUUUCCCAGUUAUGAUGUGUUCAUAUUUUGGGUUUUUUCUUCCUCUGCAGUUUUGUAAAUACGUUGAUACAUUUGUUAAUGUUUGGAUGACAUGAAGUUGAAGAUAGUGCUAUAUAAAGUCGAUAAGGAAUUUUGCAUCAGUAAGAAAUGGAGGUGCUACCUUCAAGUCAGUGGCACAGCUAUGAUCACCUGCAUGUCCACACAAUAUGCCAACAUUUUUAUGGCUGACCUCGAACAAUGUUUCCUCGGCUUUUGUCCCGUCAUACCCUUCCUCUUCUUACAUUACACUGACAACAACUUCAUCAUAUGAACCCAUUGGAAGGAAACCCUUGAAGAAUUCCACAGGGAUUUCAGCAACUUCCACCCCACCACUAACCUUAGCUGGACGAGUCCACACAAGAGAUCAACUUCCUUGACACUAUAGUGCAAUUAAAUUAUGGACACAUUACCACCCCCCUAUACCGGAAACCUGCUGACUGUUGUUCUUACUUACAUGUCUCUAGCUUCUAUCCGGGAUACAUCACAUGAUCAAUUAUUUAGAGCCAGGCCCUGAGAUACAACUGGAUUUGCUCCAAUCCCACAGACCGAGACAAACACCUACAAGAUCUUUAUCAGGCAUUCUUAAAACUUAAAUACCCGCCUGGAAAAGUGAUGAAACAGAUUGACAGAGCCAGACAAAUACUCAGGAAUCUGCUUCUCGAAACAGGCCCAACAAAGAAAAUAACAGAAAAUCACUAGUCCUCACCUACAGCCCCCAAUUUAAACCCCUCCAGCACAUCAUUCACCAUCUACAACCUAUCGUGGAAAAUAAUCCCUCAUAAUCUCAGGCCUUGGGAGACAGGCCAGAUCUUGCCUACAGACAACCCCCUAAUCUGAAGCAAAUUCUUUGCAGGAGCCACACCACACCUCAGACACCCUGACCCAGGAACCUACCCCUGCAAUAAACCCUGUUGUCAACUUUGUCCACACAUCUAUAUAAGUGACACCAUCACAGGACCUAACCACAUAAAC